rnacentral:rRNA from 1 species
UACGUAGGGGGCGAGCGUUGUCCGGAUUUAUUGGGCGUAAAGAGCGUGUAGGCGGCCAGGUAGGUCUGCUGUGAAAACUCGAGGCUCAACCUCGAGACGUCGGCGGAAACCAUCUGGCUAGAGUCCGGAAGAGGAGAGUGGAAUUCCUGGUGUAGCGGUGAAAUGCGCAGAUAUCUGGAGGAACACCGGUGGCGAAGGCGGCAUCCUGGACCGGUAUUGACGCUGAUGAGCGAAAGCCAGGGGAGCAAACGGG